rnacentral:rRNA from 1 species
AUUGAACGCUGGCGGCAGGCCUAACACAUGCAAGUCGAACGAGUGGCGGACGGGUGAGUAAUGUCUGGGAAACUGCCUGAUGGAGGGGGAUCACUACUGGAAACGGUAGCUAAUACCGCAUACCAUCAGAUGUGCCCAGAUGGGAUUAGCUAGUUGGUGGGGUAACGGCUCACCAAGGCGACGAUCCCUAGCCGGUCUGAGAGGAUGACCAGCCACACUGGAACUGAGACACUGUCCAGACUCCUAGGGGAGGCAGAAGUGGGGAAUAUUACACAAAGGACGCAAGCCAGAUGCAACCAUGCCGCGUAUAUGAAGAAGGCCUUCGGGUUGAAAAGUACUUGCAGCGUGGAGGCGUUACCCGCAGAGGAAGCACCGGCUAACUCCGUGCCAGCAGCCGCGGUAAUUC